rnacentral:rRNA from 1 species
UACGUAGGGGGCAAGCGUUGUCCGGAAUCAUUGGGCGUAAAGCGCGUGUAGGCGGCCAGAAAAGUCCGCUGUGAAAACUCGAGGCUCAACUUCGAGCUGUCGGUGGAAACUUUCUGGCUAGAGUCCGGAAGAGGAGAAUGGAAUUCCUGGUGUAGCGGUGAAAUGACGCAGAUAUCAGGAAGAACACCCGUGGCGAAGGCGGUUCUCUGGGACGGUACUGACGCUGAGACGCGAAAGCGUGGGGAGCGAACAGG